rnacentral:rRNA from 1 species
GACGAACGCUGGCGGCGUGCUUAACACAUGCAAGUCGAGCGAUGAAGCACCUUCGGGUGUGAAUUAGCGGCGAACGGGUGAGGAACACGUGAAGAAUCUGCCUUCAACUCUGGGAUAACUCCGGGAAACCGGGGCUAAUACCGGAUAUGAGCCUUGAUCGCAUGAUCGGGGCUGGAAAGUUUUUCGGUUGAAGAUGACUUCGCGGCCUAUCAGCUUGUUGGUGAGGUAAUGGAUCACCAAGGCGACGACGGGUAGCCGGCCUGAGAGGGCGACCGGCAACACUGGGACUGAGACACGGCCCAGACUCCGACGGGAGGCAGCAGUGGGGAAUAUUGGGCAAUGGAGGAAACUCUGACCCAGCGACGCCGCGUGAGGGAUGAAGGCCUUCGGGUUGUAAACCUCUUUCAGUAGGGAAGAAGCGAAAGUGACGGUACCUACAGAAGAAGCACCGGCUAACUAUGUGCCAGCCGCCGCCGUAA